rnacentral:rRNA from 1 species
UACGUAGGUGGCAAGCGUUGUCCGGAUUUACUGGGCGUAAAGAGCGCGCAGGCGGUCGAUUAAGUCGAGUGUGAAAGCCCCCGGCUCAACUGGGGAGGGUCAUUUGAUACUGGUCGACUCGAAGGCCGGAGAGGGAAGUGGAAUUCCCGGUGUAGUGGUGAAAUGCGUAGAUAUCGGGAGGAACACCAGUGGCGAAGGCGACUUCCUGGCCUGUUCUUGACGCUGAGGCGCGAAAGCUAGGGGAGCAAACGGG